GGUCUCGUGGCCGAGCGGCUAGGCAGCGGUCUGCAAAACCGCGUACAGCGGUUCGAAUCCGCUCGAGACCU
rnacentral:tRNA from 1 species